rfam:Clostridium hathewayi CAG:224 genomic scaffold, scf363
UAAUCGAAAACGGGGUGCUCGCGCAAAGCGGGCUGAGAGUAGGCUGUACUGCCUUAACCCAUUAACCUGAUUUGGAUAAUGCCAACGUAGGGAACAUAGAAAAGCAUGUG